AAUUAGAAAAGGCAAAAUCUGUGAAAUCAGAUGACGCAAAGCCACGGACCUAACGGUUUUCCCACGGUCGCCGGGCUACCAAA
rnacentral:ncRNA from 1 species